rnacentral:rRNA from 1 species
GCCAGACUCCUACGGGAGGCAGCAGUAGGGAAUCUUUCACAAUGGGCGAAAGCCUGAUGGAGCAACGCCGCGUGCAGGAUGAAGGCCUUCGGGUUGUAAACUGCUUUUAUAAGCGAGAAAUAUGAUGGUAACUUAUGAAUAAGGAUCGGCUAACUACGUGCCAGCAGCCGCGGUAAUACGUAGGGGGCGAGCGUUAUCCGGAUUCACUGGGUGUAAAGGGAGCGUAGACGGCCAUGCAAGCCAGGGGUGAAAGCCCGGGGCCCAACCCCGGGACUGCCCUUGGAACUGCAUGGCUGGAGUGCGGGAGGGGCAGGCGGAAUUCCUGGUGUAGCGGUGAAAUGCGUAGAUAUCAGGAGGAACACCGGCGGCGAAGGCGGCCUGCUGGACCGCGACUGGCGUUGAGGCUCGAAAGCGUGGGGAGCGAACAGGAUUAGAUACCCCAGUA